AGGGCCUAAAUCCAUGGCCCUCAGUUUGCUCAGAUUUAAGCCCUGACAGGCCCUGGAAGGCCCUACAGCCAAUCGCCGAUCGCCUCUCGCUUGGUGCUUGGCCCUCGGCUGUAGGACCUGCCUCUGAAAUUUAUCUACUCACAUUGCUGUUUUUGAACUGCUAAAUAUCAGGCGUGAAAUUGAUUUGGAGAGAGAGAAGUCAUAGUCCAACAAGUGAAUAGAGGGGAAAUGGCCAAUAAUGAAGAUAAUCAUGCAUCAGAGAGUGUUUCCAUGAAUGGAGUAAGCCAGCUAACACCUAAAAAAGGGAAAAGAAAAGGAAGGCUGGACUUCAAUGCACGAGGUACAAGGGCACAGAGAUGGAUUUCACAGAACAAAGUCCUAUGUGUAUCUUUAUGCAUCAACAUUUGUUUUAUCAUUUCUACAGUAGCAUAUUUUGCAUCUCCGCAACCAAAUAACAAUGAGCAACCAUGCAUAUCUUCACCACCCUUGUGUCCCGACGACUCACAUAUGCAUAGGAAAAGAUGCUACUACUUUCGGAAGAAGAAUAUAAUUGGACUUCCAGUGAGAAGUUCUGCUCCUCGCGUAACAGUUCCUUAGCAAAGAUUGAAACUGAUGAACAGGAUUUUGUGGAACGUAACAUACAAAACUAUCCCUUUUGGGUUGGCCUCUAUAAAUCCGUUGAUCAACAAUGGAAAUGGAUUGAUGGAGAAAAUGCAAGGAAGCCUGCUGGAGAUGGAGGCGACUGCGCCUAUUUACAUGUGUUCAAAAAGAUGGAAGCAAACUCUGGAAGAUGCAGUACACCACACCGUUUCAUCUGCAAAUCUGAAAUACCUUAAAAGUUAUGUUAAACAUGCAUGUUAAUAGCCAGAGCCGGUCCAACAAUGAGGCAAAUUAAGCGGUCGCUUGGGGCGCAAAACAUAUGGGGGCGCAGUCGGGACUGCUUUUUCUGUUGAUUUGUUGUAAAACAUGAUGUUUUGGUGCUUAAUUUGUAAAAUCUUAAUGUAAUUUGAUGUUUAAUAGGCUUUUCCUUAAUCCCUCCUUAUUAUCCAACUUAUCCAACUUAUUAUCCAACUUUUCACUUAUCCAACGCUUUUAUUUUUCAGUGAUUGGUUUUGGGGGGGGGGGGGUGCCAAAAUUCUGUUCGCCUACACUUGAAAAAUACCUAGGGCCAGCUCUGUUAAUAGCAUGUGGCAUAGGUCACCUAGCUUCAAUGUUGUUGUUGUUGUUGUUAAUAAUAAUAAUAAUAAUAAUAAUAAUAAUAAUAAUAAUAAUAAUAAAUCACACAGUCCUAAAUGCUUGGGAAGUGUUCGACUUGUGAUUUUGUUAUACAAAAUCCAGCAUAUAUAUCUCAUUUGCUGUGUUAUACUGUGUCCUUCUGUCAAUAAUAAUAAUAAUAAUAAAGAGGGUAGGAAGAGACCCCUUGUGCCAUGUGGUCCAACCCCAUCCGCCUUUGUGCACCAAAAGCACUAGCAAAGCACCCCUUAAUAAUUAAUUAUAAACAAGCAAAGCUUUGGAAGGUGUGCACCAGGUGAGGGAGGAGGUGGAAAAAGCGAGGAGGAGGCAGCCGCUGCGGCGGGGGCUGGAUAAAUGGCUUAGAUCGGCCACAUGUGGCCCCCGAGCCUUAGUUUGAGGACCCCUCGCUUAAAGCUUUGGUGUUCUAACACUUUUGUUUUUAAAGAGAGAAUUACAAGCAGGCAGCCACUGUAAAGCGCACCAUUUUUUGGCCAAAUUACAAAGAAUGUGCACUUUUUGCAUUGCAUUCGGCAGCAAAGAAUUUUUUUGGUUCCAGGGUAUUGAAAAUUGAGGUGCACAUUAGAUUUGAUGGUGCAUUAGAUUUGAGAAAAUACAGUAAAGCAAUAGCAUUUUACAAUUAGAAUACACUGCAAUUGUAUUUUCUCAAUAUAAUAGAUGUACAAAUCAAUAAACCUACAAAAAGAAUAAUUAUGAUUAUAACGACAAGAGUAGUACAGUGAUACCUGGACUUAAGAGUUUAAUUCAUUCUGUGGCUAAGCUCUUAACUCAAACCACUCUUAUCUCAAUGUUCAUUUUCCCAUUCAUUUAAAUGUAUUGAAAUGUAUUAAUCUGUUCCAGUUCCUUGGACAACCCCCAUUUUUGUUACAUGUUUUUAAAUAAGAAAAUGUACUUUAUAAAUAAUAAGUAAUAUAUGAAUGCACAUUCACAUGGAACACUAAAAAAGAAAGAUCAACUUUAAAAAGCAACUUGUUAUGCUAUUUAUUAGAAGAAGUCAGCCUUUGCUUUAGAAAAUGCAUAAGGAUGUGGGUGAACUACAAUUCCCAAAAUCAUGGGUCAAUCCCCCCCAAACCUCACCAGUAUUCAAAGUUGGCCACCUUGGGUCUGUGUGCCAAGUUUGGUCGAGAUCCAGCCUCAGCUGGGUUCAAUGCUCUCUAGAUGCGGAUGAACUAGAACUCCCAUAUUCCAAGGUCAAUCAUCCCUGCAACUGGGUACUUUGUGUGACAAAAAAGAGAGGCUGGGCAAACAUAAUGUUAUAAAUUGAUGUUGGAAAGUAAAAUGACUAUAUAAUCUCCUAAUUUGACUCUGAGAGACCAGAGUUGUAAUUCUUGGUCAGACAUGGAAGAACAAUGAGAGACCUUGGGCAACUCACGCUCUCUCAGCCUCAGAGGCAAAGGUCCCCUAAUUAAAUCUUGCCAAGAAAACCCCUCAUAGCUUUGCAUAAAUCAUCAUUAAUUUAAAGGCCCAUAUAAUCAAUACAAUCUACAGCAAGGACAGACAGAAGUGGGGUUAGCUUGUAAAUUACAAUGUUAUGUCAAUAAGUAAAUAAAAACAAUUUACUCCUCAAGUGUUUCACAAGAGCAACAUUAAUGUCUAUCCCCAGCCAAAUAGUGCAAUAUUGUGUAAUCUGAGUCAAUAUGAUAUUUUGUUAUAGGUUGAAUCAAUCUGAUAAUUUGUUACAGACUGAGUCAAUCUGGUAUUUUGUCACAGAUUUCUGUAACAAUGAAAAUGACAAUGAAAUUCUGGAUUAUAUAAAACAGAAACAGACCACAUCAAAUGAGAGUGAUGCCAUGUCUGAAAUUCUUCAUCACGUUUGCAGAAGAUUAAUCCCCAUAUUUGAAAUUAUGCCUUUUCCUUAUAUUGCACAGCUCAUCUGUCCAGUGGCAGUUCCAGGCACACCAAAUGGGCAAGCAAAUAUGCAUGAGCAUAAAACAUGGUAUAUGGGCUGCCCAAAUGUUGACAUUCCUUGUGCAACUCCACUCCUUCAAAUGUGAAGAGAAUGUAAGCAUUCAUAGGACACCAACAGGAUUCUAUCAGCCUCCUCCCACCAGACUCAAAUCAAGGAAGGGCUUCAUGAGAACCACCACUCCUCUUGAUGUUCCUCCAGCAACAGCAAGGGUGUCCCUCUGGGCAGCUAAACCUGGCAAUUCUAACUGGAUGGCCCCCCAUGAGGGUCUUCCUCCUGGGGCAAACCAAGAAUGGGCAACCUGGAAGUCCCUGAACAGACUAAGAAGCGGAGUGGGCAGAUCUAAAGACAACUUGGCAAUGUGGCACUACCUGGAGGAAUCCUCCACCUUGUGUGACUGUGGAGCAGAACAAACAACUCCGCAUAUGUAUGCUUGUCCACAAUGUCCUGCCUCAUGCACGGAGGAGGAGUUGUUUAAAGCUACGGACAAUGCGGUUGCUGUUGCCCGUUUUUGGUCUAAAACUAUUUAGUUGCUUGUGAUUUCCUUUUUUUCCCAUCAUUUUAAAAUGUAUUUGUUAUGCAAUGCUUUUGACACGAAAUAAAAUAAACAGGAUUCUAGUCCUUGUGUUUAAUACAA